GAGGAUAUAGCUCAGUGGUCAUGUGUGUGCUUAGUAUGCACAAGGUCCUGGGUUCAAUCCCCAGUACCUCCA
rnacentral:tRNA from 1 species